AUGGAAAAUAUAUUAACUUAUCUGAAACUGAAGAUUUCAUUGUACUGUUGGAUAAAAACAUUGAGCAUGGGGAGCUGCAGAAAUGGAGCUGCACCAGAAGAGGGAAUGAGUUGGGACACUGUCCUGAGGGCCAGAGGAAGACAUGGAAGACAGAGCUGUGGGCUGGUGACCGGGUCCAUAGACAACUCCCAACAUGGCAGAUGUUUGAGUGCAUCCUGCUCCAUCAUCUGCUGCCACUACAAAAGAUCACAGGUCUAUCAUUGGUCCUGCAGGAAGGAGGUCUAUCAUCACUCUUGGAGGAAAUGGCAGAGGAAAGAAAUGGAGAAAAGCAGAAGGGAAGAACAUUGA
rnacentral:lncRNA from 1 species